UAAUUGAAGAGUUUGAUCAUGGCUCAGAUUGAACGCUGGCGGCAGGCCUAACACAUGCAAGUCGAGCGGUAACAGGGGAAGCUUGCUUCCCGCUGACGAGCGGCGGACGGGUGAGUAAUGUAUGGGGAUCUGCCCGAUAGAGGGGGAUAACUACUGGAAACGGUAGCUAAUACCGCAUAAUCUCUCAGGAGCAAAGCAGGGGAACUUCGGUCCUUGCACUAUCGGAUGAACCCAUAUGGGAUUAGCUAGUUGGUGAGGUAAUGGCUCACCAAGGCGACGAUCCCUAGCUGGUCUGAGAGGAUGAUCAGCCACACUGGGACUGAGACACGGCCCAGACUCCUACGGGAGGCAGCAGUGGGGAAUAUUGCACAAUGGGCGCAAGCCUGAUGCAGCCAUGCCGCGUGUAUGAAGAAGGCCCUAGGGUUGUAAAGUACUUUCAGUCGGGAGGAAGGCG
rnacentral:rRNA from 1 species